CAGCCGCCACGGUAAUACGAAGGGGGCUAGCGUUGUUCGGAAUUACUGGGCGUAAAGCGCACGUAGGCGGAUAUUUAAGUCAGGGGUGAAAUCCCGCAGCUCAACUGCGGAACUGCCUUUGAUACUGGGUAUCUUGAGUAUGGAAGAGGUUAGUGGAAUUGCGAGUGUAGAGGUGAAAUUCGUAGAUAUUCGCAGGAACACCAGUGGCGAAGGCGGCUAACUGGUCCAUAACUGACGCUGAGGUGCGAAAGCGUGGGGAGCAAACAGGAUUAGAUACCCGUGUAGUCCCUGUCUCUUAUAC
rnacentral:rRNA from 1 species